rnacentral:rRNA from 1 species
CCUACGGGAGGCAGCAGUGAGGAAUAUUGGUCAAUGGCCGAGAGGCUGAACCAGCCAAGUCGCGUGAGGGAAGAAUGUCCUCUGGAUUGUAACCCUCUUUUGUCAGGGAGCAAAGUCACCCACGUGUGGGUGUUGGAGAGUACCUGAAGAAAAAGCAUCGGCUAACUCCGUGCCAGCAGCCGCGGUAAUACGGGGGAUGCGAGGUUUAUCCGGAUUUAUUGGGUUAAAGGGGUGCGUAGGCGGGUUAUCAAGUCAGCGGGAAAAUCGUGGGGCUCAACUCCAUCCAGCCGUUGAAACUGAUGAUCUUGAGUGGGCGAGAGGUAUGCGGAAUGCGUGGUGUAGCGGUGAAAUGCAUAGAUAUCACGCAGAACUCCGAUUGCGAAGGCAGCAUACCGGCGCCCGACUGACGCUGAAGCACGAAAGCGUGGGUAUCGAACAGGAUUAGAUACCCCAGUAGUC